rnacentral:tRNA from 1 species
GCGGACAAGUGCUGGUGUGCUUCGCGGUCUUCAAAACCGUUGUGGGGGGCUGAACUCCUCCCGGAUGGGUUCGAUUCCCAUCCCCUC